rnacentral:rRNA from 1 species
ACUGCUAAUACCGCAUAACGUCUACGGACCAAAGGGGGCUUCGGCUCACGCCCUUAGAUUAGCCCAAGUGGUAUUAGCUAGUUGGUGAGGUAAUGGCUCACCAAGGCGACGAUCCCUAGCUGGUUUGAGAGGAUGAUCAGCCACACUGGAACCGAGACACGGUCCAGACUCCUACGGGAGGCAGCAGUGGGGAAUAUUGCACAAUGGGCGCAAGCCUGACGCACCCAUGCCGCGUGUGUGAAGAAGGCCUUAGGGUUGUAAAGCACUUUCUGUUAUGUGUAAAGGUUAGUAGUUAAAACCUGCUAGCGGUGACGUUACUUACAGAAGAA